ACACAUGCAAGUCGAACGCAGUAGCAAUACUGAGUGGCAAACGGGUGAGUAUAAUGUGGGAAUCUGCCUUUUGGUUUGGAAUAACACGGGGAAACUUGUGCUAAUACCGAAUAAGCCUUUACAGGGAAAGUUUUAACGCCGAAAGAUGAGCCCGCACUUGAUUAGCUAGUUGGUAAGGUAAAAGCUUACCAAGGCAACGAUCAAUAGCUGUUCUUAGAGGAAGACCAGCCACAUUGGGACUGAGACACGGCCCAGACUCCUACGGGAGGCAGCAGUGGGGAAUCUUGCACAAUGGGGGAAACCCUGAUGCAGCGAUGCCGCGUGAGUGAAGAAGGCCCUUGGGUUGUAAAACUCUUUCGUCGGGGAAGAAAAUGACUGUACCCGAAUAAGAAGGUCCGGCUAACUUCGUGCCAGCAGCCGCGGUAAUACGAAGGGACCUAGCGUAGUUCGGAAUUACUGGGCUUAAAGAGCUCGUAGGUGGUUAAAAAAGUUGAUGGUGAAAUCCCAAGGCUCAACCUUGGAACUGCCAUCAAAACUUUUUAGCUAGAGUGUGAUAGAGGUAAGUGGAAUUUCUAGUGUAGAGGUGAAAUUCGUAGAUAUUAGAAAGAACACCAAAAGCGAAGGCAACUUACUGGGUCACUACUGACACUGAGGAGCGAAAGCAUGGGUAGCGAAGAGGAUUAGAUACCCUCGUAGUCCAUGCCGUAAACGAUGAGUGCUAGACGUUGGAAAUAUAUUUUUCAGUGUCGCAGCGAAAGCAUUAAGCACUCCGCCU
rnacentral:rRNA from 1 species